rnacentral:rRNA from 1 species
AGAGUUUGAUCCUGGCUCAGGACGAACGCUGGCGGCGUGCUUAAUACAUGCAAGUCGAACGAGAAUCUCUAGCUUGCUAGAGAGGAAAGUGGCGGACGGGUGAGUAAAAUGUAGAGAAUCUGCCCUUGAGUGGGGGACAACAGCUGGAAACGGCUGCUAAUACCCCAUAUGAGCGUACCUGAGAUGGUAUUCUUGAAAACUCCGGUGCUCAAGGAUGAGUCUGCAUCUGAUUAGCUAGUUGGCGGGGUAAUGGCCCACCAAGGCGACGAUCAGUAGCUGGUUUGAGAGGAUGAUCAGCCACAAUGGGACUGAGACACGGCCCAUACUCCUACGGGAGGCAGCAGUAGGGAAUUUUGCGCAAUGGGGGAAACCCUGACGCAGCAACGCCGCGUGAACGAGACGCCCUUCGGGGUGUAAAGUUUUGUCAGUGGGGACGAACAAAUGACGGUACCCACAGAGGAAGCACCGGCUAACUCCGUGCCAGCAGCCGCGGUAAUACGGAGGGUGCAAGCGUUGUCCGGAAUCAUUGGGCGUAAAGAGUUCGUAGGCGGCAUGUAAAGUCAGGUGUUAAAGGCUGAGGCUCAACCUCAGUAUGGCACUUGAUACUUGCAAGCUAGAAUGCGGUAGAGGUAAAGGGAAUUCCUGGUGUAGCGGUGAAAUGCUUAGAUAUCAGGAGGAACAUCGGUGGCGUAAGCGCUUUACUGGGCCGUAAUUGACGCUGAGGAACGAAAGCCAGGGUAGCAAAUGGGAUUAGAUACCCCAGUAGUCCUGGCCGUAAACGAUGGAUACUAGGUGUUGCGGGUAUCGACCCCUGCAGUGCCGUAGCAAACGCGUUAAGUAUCCCGCCUGGGGAGUACGCACGCAAGUGUGAAACUCAAAGGAAUUGACGGGGACCCGCAC